rnacentral:tRNA from 1 species
ACCUGGCUGGCUCAGUCGGAAGAGCAUGCGACUCUUGAUCUUGGUGUUAUGAGUUUGAGUCCCAUGUUGGGUG